UCUGGACCUCUUCUCUGUAGGUCUCAUCGUUGUUGGAUAUGAGACCCACCACGGUGGGAUCGUCUGCAGACUUCCCAGUCGUGGUGGUGGGUGGAUGGCAGAGCAGUCCUGUGUGAAGAGGGUGAAGAGGGCGGAGCCGAACACACAACCCUGCGGCGUUCCAGCGGUGAGGAUCAGCGGUGAAGAUGCUGACUUCCUUUUCCUCACCACGUGGACCUGUUGGUGAGGACGUCCCUGAUCCAGGUGCAGAGUGAUGCUGGCAGACCAGGUGAUGAUCAUAGAGGCAGGAAAUGCUGGUUUUCUGGGCACAGGAACAAAGAUGGAGGACUUCAGGCAGACAGGAAGCGAUGAUGCUGUACGACUGCUGAGUCAUGGCCGAGAACAGCUGAGCUGAUGUACAUUAAAACAUGAAGUAGAUGGUCUGAAGCAUUCACUGGCAUCUGAGGC